rnacentral:rRNA from 1 species
AAUCAACGCUGGCGGCGUGCCUAACACAUGCAAGUCGAACGCGAAAACCCCGCAAGGGGUUAGUAGAGUGGCAAACGGGUGAGUAACACGUGGGUGACCUGCCUUCGAGCGGGGGAUAACGUCCCGAAAGGGACGCUAAUACCGCAUAACAUCCUGCCUUUUAAGAGGUGGAGAUCAAAGCCGGGGAUCGCAAGACCUGGCACUUGAAGAGGGGCCCUCGCCUGAUUAGCUAGUUGGUGGGGUAANGGCUCACCAAGGCAACGAUCAGUAUCCGGCCUGAGAGGGCGGACGGACACACUGGGACUGAGACACGGCCCAGACUCCUACGGGAGGCAGCAGUGGGGAAUAUUGGACAAUGGGCGCAAGCCUGAUCCAGCCAUGCCGCGUGAGUGAUGAAGGCCUUAGGGUUGUAAAGCUCUUUCGUCCGGGACGAUAAUGACGGUACCGGAAGAAGAAGCCCGGCUAACUUCGUGCCAGCAGCCGCGGUAAU